rnacentral:rRNA from 1 species
CCUACGGGUGACAGCAGUGGGGGAUAUUGCACAAUGGGGGGAACCCUGAUGCAGUGACGCCGCGUGGGUGAAGGAGCGUUUCGGCGCGUAAAGCCCUAUCGGCAGGGAAGAAGGAGGACGGUACCUGACUAAGAAGCCCGGCCAACCACGGGCCAGCAGCCGCGGGAAUACGGAGGGGGCAAGCGUUAUCCGGGUUUACUGGGUGUAAAGGGGGGGCAGACGGCAGCGCAAGCCAGGAGUGAAAGCCCGGGGCCCAACCCCGGGACUGCUCUUGGAACUGCGCGGCUGGAGUGCAGGAGGGGCAGGCGGAAUUCCUGGUGUAGCGGUGAAAUGCGUAGAUAUCAGGAGGAACACCAGUGGCGAAGGCGGUCUGCUGGACAGCAACUGACGGUGAGGCGCGAAAGCGUGGGGAGCAAACAGGAUUAGAUACCCUUGUAGUC